GUCUUGUGGGCUGGCCUUUAGUCUCAGCUACUCAGGAGACUAAGGCAGGAGAAUUGCUUGACCCCAGGAGUUCUGGGCUGUGUCAUGCACUGUGCCUGUUGGAUGUCUGCACUAAGUUUAGCAUCAAUAUAAUGACCUCCCGAGAGCAGGGAAUCACCAUGUUGCCUAAGGAGGGGUGAACUGGCCCAGGUCUGAAACGGAAUAGUUCAAAACCCCUGUGCUGAUCAGUAGUGACAUGGUGUCUGUGACUAGCCACUGUACUUUAGGCUGGGCAACAUGGCAAGACCUUGUCUCA
rnacentral:SRP_RNA from 1 species